AUUGCUUUAUAUCACGAGAAUUAGUUACGUACAAUAACGGGUUACAUAACUUGUUUAUGAUAACACCUCCCAUCACAAGAUCAAACGUCAUGGGUAUAUAAGAACUAAUCACAUGUAAGCAAGGUUAUACCCGUUAUAAUGUUCCAUACAAUUUUUGUUAUAGCUUUGCUUUUUCAUUUUGUAUUUUCUGACUUGGUAUACGAACAGAAGUUUCAAGACACUGUGCCCACAUGUUCUGAUAAUACGAAGAAACAGACAGACUGACUUACAACUUGCGAAACAGACAUACAGUAUGGUAUAUAACUCCAAACCUCAAAAUCUUACGAGAGAAGACAAGGACCUUUUCAAAAGACGUGUUGACGCAAGGUUCGUAUUUGUACCUCCAAAGAAGGGGAGCUGUUUCAUUUCAUGGAAAAAAGCUCUGUAAGCGGAUAGACAGUGGUAUUUUACAAUCCAUAGAAUGGCACCCUCCACAACUUCGGCAGACUACAAUGGACAUAAAAGACAAAAGUUCCACAAUGGCGCGACGUUUUUGUCUUGGCAACGAGUCUUUAUUUUAGAGAAAGUUUAGAGAUGCACUGAUUAAAACAAUCCUAAAAGACAUAAAUUAGACGACAAAAUAUAAUCAAGAGUCCUUUUUCUCAAGCAGCCUUCGUUGCUUUGAAAAUAUUUUAAAUUUGUUUUUAAUGUUAUUGAUACGUUAAGGUUUAGUUGAAUAUGCUUAUGAAGAAACAAGAUAUGUUUAUAACUUCUGUUACAAAAUUGACACUUUCACAGUGACUUUUAAAAGAAAUCAUGAGCGCAUAAUGAAAUAAAGACUUCUAAAAAGAAAAUUUUGGUGGUAAAACAGUAGUUUGGGAACGCAUUAAGGCGAGUAUUAUGUCAACUUUUAAUUUACGUACUUUUUAGUUUAAAACAGGAUAUGAGACGUUCUGAAAACCGCGAGCUUCUACAAUAUUGGGAUUAUACUAUAGACAACAAUAUCUCAUGGCCAUCUGACACAGUUGUCUGGUCCAAUCAUAAUUGUUUCGGUAAUCGAGAGGAGUACAUCAAUUCUGGACAUUUCAAAAGUUGGUAUAGAGGUCACAGUAUCCCAGCGCAACGGGACAAUGCAAGACGUGGUGAAUGCCCACCAAGCCUUAUAGAUAAAUUGAACAUUAGAGGGAUUGUGUAA
rnacentral:lncRNA from 1 species